rnacentral:rRNA from 1 species
UACGGAGGGUGCAAGCGUUAUCCGGAUUUACUGGGUUUAAAGGGUGCGUAGGUGGGCAGGUAAGUCAGUGGUGAAAUCCCCGGGCUUACCGGAACCGUACCUUGAUCAUCUAUCUGUCUUGAAUAUCCUGGAGGUGAGCGGAAUAUGUCAUGUAGCGGUGAAAUGCUUAGAUAUGACAUAGAACACCCAUUGCGAAGGCAGCUCACUACGGGAUCAUUGACACUGAGGCACGAAAGCGUGGGGAUCAAACAGG